UACGGAGGGUCCGAGCGUUAUCCGGAAUCAUUGGGUUUAAAGGGUCCGUAGGCGGGCUAUUAAGUCAGAGGUGAAAUUGUGCAGCUCAACUGUAGAACUGCCUUUGAUACUGAUAGUCUUGAGUUAUGGUGAGGUAGCCGGAACAUGUGGUGUAGCGGUGAAAUGCAUAGAUAUCACAUAGAACGCCGAUUGCGAAGGCAGGUUACCAACCAUAUACUGACGCUGAUGGACGAAAGCGUGGGGAGCGAACGGG
rnacentral:rRNA from 1 species